rnacentral:ncRNA from 1 species
AGAUAGAGGUCGCGGCUUACAGGAGUAAGCAUGGUCAGGGAGCCGGUUCCUGUUUCAGCCAUGCCGAAAGGGGACGGCCGCCGAAGGACUCCUCACCCGGCAGAGUGAGUUCUGGUCGCCAGGUUAACAGCCUUGCGACUGUCAUCAGUUUGGUCUGAUGGAGCGCUGUCUG